UAGCAGUGCAGGUCAUAGGAAAGCGAGUAUGUGUCAUAGAGGGUUGCCUUCACGUUCAGGCAGCCAAUAAAGUCCUGAGGGUUCAGCUUGUACAGGUCGAAGGUUACCCGGGCCACAUCGAUCUUCUUAGUUGGCUUCUGGGAAAGGGCUAGCUGGGCUCUCUUCUUGCGCUGCAAGACAAGCCCGUGUAAGCUCACCUCUGGAACAUCUCCCGAGCUCUCGACAUUCACCCCUGCCCCGGGAAGGCCGUCACCUGUUCUGAUGGGGGCUUCCACUUCUGCCCCUUCAGCAGGACCAUGAACAUGGUAUCUUUUGCCAGGGCUUGGAAGUAUUCUUCUGUCUCCACGAUUGUGCCAUCUUCCUCCAGCACCAGGGAGAAGGGCUUGUCUUUAAGUUUCAAGAUGUCCUGGACCUGGAAGAAGUUCCAGGGAUCUGUCACCUCGUCAGGCCUCCGUGGACACUGCAUGCAUAUGGUGUAAAACACUAUACACCAGAGAGCCGGGACUAAAGGUGUGUGCCACCAAACUGGUUAAGACGAGUACUUUAUAAAUGCCUACACAUCCGUAGGCACAGCUGAUCAGGAAGCUGAUUCUAAGGCAGCAACACGAAGCUAGAGCUGUACAGCCUUUCUGUCCUGUAGUCACCUGUCCGGUGGGGACUCACUGGCUCUCACGAGAUGCAUUAUUUAGAGCUAAGCCAAUCCCUGGAAGAGGCGACAUUCCUUCAUCGAGUACUUUCAGUGUGUGCCACGCUAGGGGCUGACAAUACAUCAGAAAGCAAGACGGCCUUAGCCCACACCUGGAGGAGCUGGGCUGGAAACAGAAGCAAAUGCACGAAUGAGCAAUGGGAGCCAGGAGUGGUGAUGUACACCCCUCUCUCUCACCCGGAGCCUCCAGAGGCUGACGCACAAACAUCACCAGUCUAAGACCAGCCUGGGCCACACAGUGAAAGGUCUUACCUCAAAGAAAAAAAAAAAGUUUUGUUUAUUUAUUCGUUGUUUCAUGUUGUUUCUUUCUUUGUUUCCUAAU
rnacentral:lncRNA from 1 species